GAUUUAGGUCAGCGUUGGAAGGGAAACCACUUUGCCGACAUAAAUUGAUGGUUUACCAAGGACAAGCUUAGUGUCCUAAAAUAAGCACUGAUCAGAUCGUAACAUGAGUUUUUAAUUAUUUGCAACAUUACCUUGUGUAUUGAGCAUAUAAGGAUAAUUGUAAAAAUAUUCCUUCGGGUAUUCUUGUCACUAACCUUCACAGGAUUGGAGC
rnacentral:lncRNA from 1 species